rnacentral:rRNA from 1 species
CCUACGGGAGGCUGCAGUGGGGAAUAUUGGACAAUGGGCGAAAGCCUGAUCCAGCCAUGCCGCGUGUGUGAAGAAGGUCUUCGGAUUGUAAAGCACUUUAAGUUGGGAGGAAGGGCAGUAAGCUAAUACCUUGCUGUUUUGACGUUACCGACAGAAUAAGCACCGGCUAACUUCGUGCCAGCAGCCGCGGUAAUACGAAGGGUGCAAGCGUUAAUCGGAAUUACUGGGCGUAAAGCGCGCGUAGGUGGUUUGAUAAGUUGGAUGUGAAAGCCCCGGGCUCAACCUGGGAAUUGCAUCCAAAACUGUCUGACUAGAGUAUGGCAGAGGGUGGUGGAAUUUCCUGUGUAGCGGUGAAAUGCGUAGAUAUAGGAAGGAACACCAGUGGCGAAGGCGACCACCUGGGCUAAUACUGACACUGAGGUGCGAAAGCGUGGGGAGCAAACAGGAUUAGAUACCCCUGUAGUC